ensembl:lncRNA
GGGGAGAGAGGGAGCAGAAGGAAAGGAAGAAGUAGAGGGAGGAAGGGAGGAAGGAAGAAGGGAGGAAGGAAGGAAGGAAGGAAGGAAGGAAGGAAGGAAGGAAGGAAGGAAGGAAGGAAGGAAGGAAGGAAGGAAGGAAGGAAGGAAGGAAGGAAGGAAGGAAGAGAAAGAAAGAAAGAAAGAAAGAAAGAAAGAAAGAAAGAAAGAAAGAAAGAAAGAAAGAAAGAAAGAAAGAAAGAAAGAAAGAGAAAGAAAGAGAAAGAAAAGAGGGGAAGGAAGGAAGGAAGGAAGGAAGGAAGGAAGGAAGGAAGGAAGGAAGGAAGGAAGGGAGAAAGAAAGAAAAGAGGGAAAGAAAGAAAGAAAGAAAGAAAGGAAGGAAGAGAAAGAAAGAAAGAAAGAAAGAAAGAAAGAAAGAAAGAAAGAAAGAAAGAAAGAAAGAAAGAAAGAAAGAAAGAAAGAAAGAAAGAAAGAAAGAAAGAAAGAAAGAAAGAAAGAAAGAAGGAAGGAAGGAAGGAAGGAAGGAAGGAAGGAAGGAAGGAAGGAAGGAAGGAAGGAAGGAAGGAAGGAGGGAAGGAAGGAAGGAAAAGAAGUAAAGUAGGGAGGAAGGGAGAGAGGCUGUGUCUACCAACUGCUUUGGUUCUAGUUUGUAAGUUAUGGAAGUAUUAUAUAUAAAAAGGAAUUCUUUAUUCCUUUUUUUUAUUAUUUAACAGGGGACUUAGAGGUCCACUUACCAUAGAAAUGUGUAGGGAUUAACUAGCCCACAGUGACAGGAAGGAGAAACCAUAGAAACAGGAAGUGAGGUAGGAAAAGGGUAUAAAAGGAACCAGCAUCAGUUAAUGGGUCUGUCGGUUGCUAACAGGACUGGCAGUUGCAGAGAAGUUGGCUGUUGGGAGCUUACUGAGAGGACUUUUAGCUUUAGCCUUUAGAGGACUUUUUGGCUUUUGGGUUUGGGCUAUUGGGUCUUUUUUUUCUUUCCUGAACUUUUUGGAAGGUGGCUGGUCUUCAUUGACAGACCUAAUUGGGGUUGGAUUAAACAAUGAUUAGGUUGGUUUGGAUUGGGUUGGAACUUUGUGGGGUGGUUGUUAGGUAGAUAUAGGCAGUUUUAGGUAGUAAUUAUAAGUAUUUAUAGGAUAACUAGUAUAGACAGGAAAUUUUCUUUCUCUACCUCUUUCCUAUAUUUCUCUUCUUAUAUAUUCAUUUUACUAUAAUCUUUUACUAUCUCUUUUUUAAUUAAAUGAAAUUGUUAAAUUAUUAAAAGCUGCUCUCUUAUUUUGUUAAAACUCCUCAUUUAACCCUUACAAUACUGAAUAUACAAGUUCAUCUAACAAUAGCUGUCUCCCUUUAAAUUGGGGCUUUUGAUUGCUAUAUCCAGUUUAUAUUUUUUUCUAAUAAUGACUCGCACUUAUUUACAUACUGCUUUACAUUUUUCAAAGGGUUUUUCUUCAUACUAGUUUGGUAAGAUGGAGAGAACAAAAUUCUUCCCAACUUACAGAUAACAAUAGUUGAUAUUUAUGGCACCACUGAAACUUGCAACUACUUCACAUUUUUUUAAAAGGAAUCUUCUAUUGUUAAGUUGCUGGGUUUAAUUUUUUAAAGUAAUAUUUCCUAGAUUUCUAAAUUAUGAUGACUUAAGACUGAUGUUGGUAUCUUAGGGUCACUAAGGAUAGCUUCUUUCCACAAAUACAAGCUAGGAAAAUCCUCAUGAUGUUUCUAAAUCCCACUGGAGAUUACCCUUUCCUCCUAUUGUUUUAAAAUUUCUCUGUUAAAUUCCCAGUAUUGACCUUAGAGUAAUCUAACCUUGUGCUUUUUCCAUGUAAGGUGACAACCCUGACCACAAUGUCAGUAAUCAUUUCAUUGUUCCCUCAAAAAGAAAAAUGGAUUGGGAUCUUUAUAGCUGUUUGGUCCAAAGGAUGCUUUUAGUCUUGAUAUAGAGCAGUCCUAAUACCAUAGCUCCUAUCAAGUGUAAUGACAUCACAGUGACAAAGUCCUGAUGUCAAAUUGAGACAAGGGUAGCCAUUCAAAGAUACUUCCUAAAUCCUGGGAAAUGCUAUUUGAGGUUUUGAAAGAGAAGAAAAGGAGACCAGCUUCUGUUCUAAUGUUUAUUAUAUCUAUCCUCUCUAUCAAGCUUCCUCUUUCCCAUGCUUUGUUUGGGGGGAAGCACUCUGUCAGAACUCUAAUCUAGGGGAAACCAAAAUUUAAUUAGUUCCAAAUCUCCCUCCCAAAUUCAUGAUUAGAAUGCCAGAAAGAAAACUGAUAUGUUUAAAAGCUGAUUGAAGACUUGGUUAAAAUGCAAUGCUGUAAAUACAGGAUUAAAUGUUUGUCUGAAUUGGGAUCCACUUGGUUUGUGAGGGGUGAGAUUGGUUAAGGAGGGCAGUCUUUCUUUUUUCAGUGCUUUUGGUUUGAGGUGUUUUAUAACUGGUGCUAAAGUGCAGGCUGUGACCCUCUAGCCCAAGAGCUCCCCAAUUUAUUGACCAAAGAAGUGAUCUGCAACUCUACCACAAAAGAGAGAGCUGUUUAUUGCAGCAGAUAUCAUAAGGAAAUAUAACGUCCCAGCUGGGUGAGAAGCUAGGAAUGCCAUAUGUUCAGAGGUGCAAGCAGAGGAUGCCUGCUGGGAGGGGAGGAAAAUAGAGAAAUUGCAUCCUCAAAUCAACAAGGAAAAAGAAAAGAGGGGAAAAGGGUUAAAAUUUUCACAUAAAAAGCUAUGUUCUCUUCCUAUGUUUUUUCCUUUAUUCUCUUACUUUCUGCUGCUGUAUAAUUUUCCUUUCCCUGAAUUUAUUGUCUCUGUUCUUAAAUGUACAAAUGUUUCAAUGCACAAGUACUUUUUGGUAGUAUGAGGGAAUUUCAUAUUAUCUCAUAAUCUCCAUACCUCAGCCAGUCAACUAAUGAGCAUUCGUCAAAUGUCCACUUUGUGCCUGACAUUGUGCUAAGCACUGGGGAUAUGAAGAUAAAAGUGCAACAAUCCUUGUCCUUGAGGAACUUCCAUUCUAACAGUAGAGAUGAAGAUGUACAUAUUUCAGCACAGGCACAAUAUAUGCAAAAUGAAUUUCAGACGGUUUUGGCAAGGGGUAUGCUAGCAUCACGUAGAACAGGAAUUUUUAACCUAGUACAUCAUGGACGCUUUAUGAAUGAACUUUUCUUAGCAUAGUGUUUUGAAAUGCAUAAAAUAAAAUGCAUAGGCUGACAAAGGAAAUAAAUCA